rnacentral:rRNA from 1 species
UGGGGAAUUUUGGACAAUGGGCGCAAGCCUGAUCCAGCCAUGCCGCGUGCAGGAUGAAGGCCCUCGGGUUGUAAACUGCUUUUGUACGGAACGAAAAGCCUCUUUCUAAUAAAGAGGGGUGAUGACGGUACCGUAAGAAUAAGCACCGGCUAACUACGUGCCAGCAGCCGCGGUAAUACGUAGGGUGCGAGCGUUAAUCGGAAUUACUGGGCGUAAAGCGUGCGCAGGCGGUCUUGCAAGACAGUGGUGAAAUCCCCGGGCUCAAGCUGGGAACUGACAGUGUGACUGCAAGGCUGGAGUACGGCAGAGGGGGAUGGAAUUCCGCGUGUAGCAGUGAAAUGCGUAGAUAUGCGGAGGAACACCGAUGGCGAAGGCAAUCCCCUGGGCCUGCACUGACGCUCAUGCACGAAAGCGUGGGGAGCAAACA